rnacentral:lncRNA from 1 species
AAGAAUUCUAAGAAUGGGAAGUUUUCCUAAAGGUUAUGCAACCUUUCGAGGAUAAAUACAGACAUCUCCGUACCGAUCUGUGAAACUCUACUAAACUUGCUCAAGACUCGCGAGACCUAGUAACCUAGGGUUUGAUACCAACUUGUCACGAUCCAAUUUUGAAACCCGGUCAUGAUGGCACCUCUCGUGAACACAAGGCUAGCUAACUAACCUAAAUCAUCUCUUUAAUAAUUAUUAAACAUAAAUGAAUAGAUAGAUACAACUUAACGACAAUAAUAACCAGUAUUUACAACCCAACACAACCCGACCGAGGUGUCACAAGUCAUGAGCAUCUAAAGAAGCAUGAACACAACUACAAGGCCAAUAAUAUACUAAAAAUAAAUACUAGAAUUCUAAAGACAACAUCAAAUUCCGCAAACGCUGGCGGUCACCUUGCCCAGCUACAAUAAUAAUAUCUUCAUCAGCUAAUAACCCGCUACCGGGUGAACAAUACCUGCAACUGCACGUGAGGUGCAUGGAGUAAAGUGAGUACUCCAACCAGUGAGUAAUAAGAGCAAAUAAUAACUGAGCGAUAAGGAAACACGUAAAACACUCCAUCAUGCUAUAUAGGUCAGUGCAAAUCUUUGAGAAAAACAGUAAAACCGUGAAAAAUCCUUUAGAAAAUAUCUAGCUCAAUCAAAAACCUCUUUUGAAAAUAUCCUUUUCCCAACAGUCAAGCAAAUGAAUGUAUAAUCAGAUAGUGCAAGUCCGCACAUAAGUCAGCCCCUCGAGCACAACACUCCAUUAACAAAUAACACCAGGGUAUCUGGUAAUAGUGCAAUAAAUAGCAUGGAUACCAAUGAUAUGAGAGUGCUGAAUGCUAUGCCACAUAGUACAAACAGUAACCCAUGCAUGAAUGCAAUGCAAUACACAUGACCGUUGCGGCGUGCAGCCCGAUCCAUUUGGGUACCCGUGCUCACUGUGGGGGUGGGUUCAGACUCUGGAGGGGCUCCUACAAGCCAAGCACAAUAUCAAUAUCACACCGCUUCGACGUGCAGCCUGAUACAUCCUCAGUCCAGAAUAUGCAUGAGAGCCACUAGGGCUAUGUCAAGUAAUAGUUCUUGCUCAAAACAUAAAAAAAUGUAGUUUAAGUUUUUCAUACCUUAGAAGUAUGACUUGAUAUUUCAAAACAGUGUUUAACUCAGGACUGGAAUUAUUUAACAUGCUAAAUAUCAUGUAAAUAGUGAUAAUAAUCCACAAAGUAUUCAAAUAAUCGGCACGAAGCCCAAAACAUGGCAAUCAGCCCAAAUCAUGAUUAUAACAGGUAGUUUCAGUCAAAUACGUAGUAAUUUGAUCAAUCGGGACGGACCAAGUCACAAUUCCAACAGUGCUCUACCCCACGCUCACUAUCCGGCAUGAAAGUCACCUCAAUACAACACUAUGAUGUGCAAAUCCGAGGUUUCAAACACUCAGGAUAUCAUUUACAAGUAUUACUCACCUCGAAUCGGCAAAAUCUCUAGUCCAUGAUGCCUUUGGCCUUCAAAACGACCUCCACGCGCCCCGAAUCUAACCAAAAUUAGAGCAAAUACCUCAAAAUAUGCCAAGGGAACAAUACCCAAUCAAAAACAAUUAAAAUAUAGCAAAAAUCUCGAAACUAGCAAUACCCGAGCUUCGGGCCCACUUCUUGAAAUAUUACAAAACUCAUAUCACUGGAUUCCUCAUCUUGCCACGAGUCCGUACAUAUCAAAUUUACCAAAAUCGAAGUCCAAAUGCUCCCUCAAAUCCCAUUUUAAAUUCUCAAAAUCCCAAGCCUUGAUUCGUCAAUUUUUGGUUUAAUUUCAUGAAUUUCUAGGUAGAUUUCACAAUAAAACAGUAUUUAGGUUCAAACAUUAUACCCCCAAUUGAUUCUCCUUGAAUCCCUUGUCAAAUCGCUCUCCCAAGCUCCAAAAUCGCUCAACAAUGGAGGAAAAAUGACAUAAGCUCGCGGAUGAAAUAUUAAGUAAUCAGCCCAGAUUUUUUGCUUAUGAGGUCUCCCCCACUUUUUCGGGACCGUUUCAGCUCCCUUCGUUUCCGCUUUUGCAAAAAUCCAACCCUCGAACCAAAUCGCUUCUGCAGUCACAACAUCGCGAUAGCGAUUCCGCUUCUGCGGCUACACUAGCGCUACUGCGACCAGGCGCCCAGGCCUCCUUACCGCUUCAGCGAUUGAUCCCUUGCUUAAACGGGUCCGCUUCUACAGUCUAAGACUCCCAGAAGCGAGAAUAUCAGAUAUCAGCAACAUCUGCCACCCUCUUAAAUAAUCAGCCCAACAUUUUCGCUUAUGCGGUCCCCACCCCGCUUAUGGGGGACCUCUUAAGCGCCCUUCCUUUUCGCUUUUGCAGAAAUCCAACCCUCGAACCAAACCGCUUUUGCGAUCACAACAUUGCGGAAUCGAUUUCGCUUUUGCGGCUACUCUAGCGCUUCUGCGAAAUCAGGCAGCCAAGCCUCCUCAUCACUUCUGCGGUCGAUCCCUCGCUUAAGCGGGUCCUUUUCUGCGGUCCAAGACUCGCAGAAGCAAGAAUAUCAUAUAUCAACAACAACACACCUGAAGAAAACUUCAAAAACUCUCGUUUAACCACUCGAAUUCAACCCGAGGCCCCCGAGACACCAACCAAAAGCACUGACAUGUUCUAUUACCUAAUUCAAACUUGCUCCAACCAUCAAAACACUAUCGUUAACAUCAAAAUCCUCAAAUUUCAUCAAAUCAAAGUCUAUGUUUCUUAAAAACCUCCGAAUAAGGUAAUUUUACAAGCAUGCAGUUUCCUUGAUCUAUGCGCCAUUGCAACCCCAUAUUUAGAGACAUAGAUUCAGGUGCAUUAUUAUUCUAGGUACCAAAAGAUGUUGCAAAUGCACCCACCAUUUCUCCAGUGUGCCUUCUAAUGACCCCUCCACCACUAAUACCAGGAUUACCUCUAGAAUAUCCAUAAGUAUUUAAUUUAAUGGUCCCUUCUAGAGGAAAUUUCCAUGAGACUUUGAUAAUAUUCAACAGUGGUCUAGCUUCCAUAGUCAUCUGAGUCAAUUGCGCCCACGGAAUUGCUAAGUCAACCUGCCUAAAAUGCUUAUGGAUAAUCAGUGUAACAUCAUGGCAAAUUUGAUGUACAAUUUUAGAAAUAAAGAACUUUUGUUUAUCAUAUUUGCUCUUAUUUCUCGCUUUCUAAAUGUUUCAACUGAUGACCAAAAGGGUUGCUUGAAGAGGGAGUUUAUGGAUGGGGUUCUGGUAUUCAUAAAGCCACCAAACCAUCAUAUGUUGCCUAAUAUCACCAUCAUAGUCCUAAUCCCAAAUUGCUCUCUGAAGCAUUUCCAGACUGCUUUGCUGAUGUUGCGAUAUCAAUGAAAAUAUGCCCAUCUUCAUUCAUUGGUUUUGUACAACAUGCACAUUUUGAUGGAAAAGAAAUUUCCAUUUUCUUGAUAUUAUCAUCUGUCGGUAUUUUGUCUCUCAAAAGUUUUUAACCAAAAAAAGAUAUUUUGAAAGGAAUAGCGUUAUGAGAUAAGAACUUAUUCACAAAAGAAUUUCCUUGUCUUUGUCUCAAGCUAUUCCAGGCUGAGGAACAACUGAACUGACCAUUAGUUGAGUCGGUCCAUAUUGCUUAGUCUUGUACAUUCUAGUUACCUAUUUUUAUACCUCUAAAUGUGUUCAAAAAAGUAGCUUGGAACAGCUUGAGACAAUAUAGGAAUAUUCCAGGAAUUUAACAAUAAAGUUACAUACCUUAUCCUUGUUAUAAAUGGAGCAGUUGUAAAAGUUGUAUAAACGGCCCAAACCUGUCCAGUUGUCCCAGUAGAAAGAAGAAUUUCCUCCUUGGAUCCUCCAUGUUUAUGCAGUUCUACUUUUUCGUUUUAUCUCCAUUAAGCUUCUUCAUGAGCCGGAUUGCUUUGAGUUUCCUUUCCUAGUGUGACAAUCCGGCUGGUUGUUUUUGGAAUUUAUGUCUCGUUUCCCCAUUAACUGCUUCCUCUAAGUUCAUUUAUGCUAUUUUUUUUGCCGGGACGUUCGGUAUUAGGAUCCGGAGUGUUUUGGGACACUUCGUCCCUAAAUGAGAGCUUAAAUAUUGAAAAGUGGUCUUUAAUUGGAACAAUGUGAAGACAACCUCGGAAUGAAAAUCCGAUGGUUCCGUUAGCUCCGUUAGGUGAUUCGGGGUUGGGAGCGUGUUCGGAAUGUAUUUUGGAUGCCCGUAGCUUAUUUAGGCUAGAAAUGCCGAAAGUUAGAAUUUGGAGGUUUCCUGUCUGAUAGUAAAUUUUUGAUUCGAGGGUCGGAAUGGGAUUCCGAAAAUUGCUGUAGCACUGUCAUGUCAUUUGGGAUGUGCUUGCGAUGUUUCAUGUCAAUCGUACGAGUGUUUGUUAGGUUUUGGAUCGAAAGCGUGUUUUGGAUGAACUUGAAGUUCUUAGGCUUGAAUCUUUGAUUUAAUCGGGUUUCUGGUGUUGUUUUAGAUGUUUUAGGAUUGGUACAAGCUCGAAUAAGGCGUUAGAUGGUAUUGGUGUUUUUGGUUGGCGUUCCGGAGGCCUCGGGUGUGUUUCGGAUGCUCAACGGGCAUGUUUUGGGAAUUGGAAGAAAAAUUCGCAGCAGGCUCCUGUCAUUUUCGCUUAUGCGGCGGGGGGGGGGGGGGGGGGACUUGGGCAGAUACCGCAGAAGCGGUAUGGUAUCCGCAUAGGAAAAACCGCAUAAGCGGUUCCUGGACCGCAGAUGCGGAAGUCCGGGUUUAACGAGGAGUCACAAAUGCGGCUCGUGGUUCACAUAUGCAGGACCGCCGAAGAAGUCCCUGGACUGCAAAAGCGAAAACCACUUUUCUGAUAAGGGUUUAUCCGAGGCCUUAUUUCAAUAGUUGGAAAAUUCAAUUUGAAGCUCGGUUAAAGGCGAUUUUGAGAGGAUUUCGAAGAGGAGAUUACUGGGUAACAUUUAUAUGAUCCUUUCUAGUUAUAUUCCAUCAUUUAGUACUUAAAUCCAUCUUUUAAAUUCAAAUUAAGGAUAAAAAAUGGGAGAAGUUGGGUGAAAGUUCAUUGGUUAAAUUGUUGAGUUUUGAGGGGGCAAUUGACCUCCGAAUUGGGAGAUAUUGGUAUGGUUAGACUCGUGAGAGUACGAGGUUUCUGAAAAUAUUCAAAUUAUUCGGUUCAAACUUACAUUUUCAUAGUAUAAAAAUAUUACUACCAUUUUCAAUAACAAGCAUUGAGAGUAGCAAUAACAAGCAUAUUCUGCCCAAACUAAAAAUGGAAUACCAACAUGCAAUAAAUCUCUCAACAAGAAGCUUUUAACUUACCCAAACUAAGAUUUCUGUCAAAACUGAAAAUCAGCAACAACAACACCAAAUGCUCUCAAAUCAGUCUUUCUGUGCGGAUUUUUUUGUAUUCCUGUAGAUUAUCAAAUGGUUUAGAGAAAUUCGAGAUGAAAUCUAAGAAUACAAAUGUAAAAUUACUGAAAUAACAAUAAACCCCAACUGCAUGUUGAAAAUUUUGCCUUAAAGAAUCCUUAUAAAAAAAUUCAAACAUAAAUUUAUAUAUAAACUAGUGUGGGUAUAAACAAAAAAGAAAGAAUUAGGGUCACUAGCAGCUAUAUGAGAGAAAUAAGUUGUGCAAUUCUUCCACCCCAAUAUCGUUUUGGAUUUGACUAGCAGCUAUGAGAUUUUUGUUUCAACAAGAAAAAGGAAAAGAUUAGGAAUUUGAACACAUACCUGAUAAAUGAGAUUCACAUUUUUAUUAGAGAGAUUAAGAGUUGGGUCAUGAAAUUUUGGUAAAGAAAGUGAUUUUAGAG